rnacentral:sRNA from 1 species
CUGACAGCCCUGGAGAUCAAUGCCUCUAUUUAUCCCCAGGACAGGAAAAGCACAGGCAGCAGCAUGGCAAGUUUCUCCCACUUACCACCGCAUCAAUGUGCAUCAACCCUAACCAGGAGGAACUACCUCUCACACUGCUACUACUUCACUACUCCACUGCAUAAAGAUUGCAAUAGU